ACGGCUCAGUAACACGUGGAUAACCUGCCCUUGGGUCCGGCAUAACCCCGGGAAACUGGGGAUAAUUCCGGAUAACGCACAUAUGCUGGAAUGCUUUAUGCGUAAAAUGGAUUCGUCUGCCCAAGGAUGGGUCUGCGGCCUAUCAGGUAGUAGUGGGUGUAAUGUACCUACUAGCCAACAACGGGUACGGGUUGUGAGAGCAAGAGCCCGGAGAUGGAUUCUGAGACAUGAAUCCAGGCCCUACGGGGCGCAGCAGGCGCGAAAACUUUACAAUGCGGGAAACCGUGAUAAGGGGACACCGAGUGCCAGCAUCAUAUGCUGGCUGUCCAGGUGUGUAAAAUACACCUGUUAGCAAGGGCCGGGCAAGACCGGUGCCAGCCGCCGCGGUAACACCGGCGGCCCGAGUGGUGAUCGUGAUUAUUGGGUCUAAAGGGUCCGUAGCCGGUUUGGUCAGUCCUCCGGGAAAUCUGACGGCUCAACCGUUAGGCUUUCGGGGGAUACUGCCAGGCUUGGAACCGGGAGAGGUAAGAGGUACUACAGGGGUAGGAGUGAAAUCUUGUAAUCCCUGUGGGACCACCUGUGGCGAAGGCGUCUUACCAGAACGGGUUCGACGGUGAGGGACGAAAGCUGGGGGCACGAACCGGAUUAGAUACCCGGGUAGUCCCAGCCGUAAACGAUGCUCGCUAGGUGUCAGGCAUGGCGCGACCGUGUCUGGUGCCGCAGGGAAGCCGUGAAGCGAGCCACCUGGGAAGUACGGCCGCAAGGNNGNAACUUAAAGGAAUUGGCGGGGGAGCAC
rnacentral:rRNA from 1 species